UUUACAAAUAAUACAAAAUUUACUUUUGGGUAUUUUUAUAAAUUCUUCAAGGAUCAAAAUACAACAAUGACAGAACUUGAUUAAAGGUAAUUGGAGAUUAUAAAAAUUUAAUGGGAGUAAAAUGGGUAGUUAUGAGAAUCAGAGUCUAAUUCCCAACCCAACGAAAUCAAGGGAAUGAUUUUCAAAUUUGUAGGCCCUGCACAAUUCUAAUUUCAAUUCCCACUCUUAUUUUGUGAAAUAAAAGCCGUCAAUAAUUCUGAUUCCUCAAUCCGGAAAGUAAAUAUACUCUUUGUCAUGACCCAACCCAGACCUGGCAAGAUAUUGUCCGCUUUGGGCCUUAACAAGGCCCGCACGGAUUUGUUCUUGGGGCGCCCAUACACCCCAAAACGCGUCUUGCCAAUUAAGGUGUGGAUCACCCCUUAUAAACCUGGCAUCUCUCCCGUGCUUUGCCGAUGUGGGAUUCGCCUAAAGUGUUACAUACACCCCCCCUUGGGGACUCAACGUCCUCACUGAGGUUUGCCCCACCAUCGCUCAAGAGGACACGCGGAGCCGCUCUGAUACCACAAUGUCAUGACCCAACCCAGACCUGGCAAGAUAUUGUCCGCUUUGGGCCUUAACAAGGCCCGCACGGAUUUGUUCUUGGGGCGCCCAUACACCCCAAAACGCGUCUUGCCAAUUAAGGUGUGGAUCACCCCUUAUAAACCCAGCAUCUCUCCCGUGCUUUGCCGAUGUGGGAUUCGCCUAGGGUGUUACACUCUUAGUCUCUUCUAUAUAAGAAAAAAAAUAUGUUAAUAUAUUAUCUCUUAAUCUUCUUUAUCCACAAACAUUCAUGGUGCGUUUUCUAAACUAGAAUCGAAAUGGACUGUAAUUGAAAUGAACAUGAAUGAAAAUGAGUUGGAAGAGGAAUGAUGAGUAAAAUUAGAAUAAGUUAUUUAUUUAAACUAUAUGAAUCGGAAUCAGAAUGAAUUGGAUUUCUAUUGAUAUGUUUACUUUGUCUUGGGGAAUUUGAAUGAGUUAGAUUGUAACAAAUUACUAAAAAGUACUUAAUGAACUAUUGUCAUAAUUAUUAUUUUGUUUGUUUAAUUAUUGUGAUUAUUUUUUCAAAAAUUAUUAUUAU
rnacentral:lncRNA from 1 species